rnacentral:rRNA from 1 species
UACGAAGGGGGCUAGCGUUGCUCGGAAUCACUGGGCGUAAAGGGUGCGUAGGCGGGUCCUUUAGUCAGGGGUGAAAUCCUGGAGCUCAACUCCAGAACUGCCUUUGAUACUGAAGAUCUUGAGUUCGGGAGAGGUGAGUGGAACUGCGAGUGUAGAGGUGAAAUUCGUAGAUAUUCGCAAGAACACCAGUGGCGAAGGCGGCUCACUGGCCCGAUACUGACGCUGAGGCACGAAAGCGUGGGGAGCAAACAGG